UGGAAGACCCCCCCCUCUCCAGAUAUAUAGGUUGCGGCGUCCCCUCGGUGCCGUAAUGGCACCCCCUGGCCGCCAUUAGCGCAGUGAGGAAAAAAAUCCUGUCCGCCGCCAUUGCCGGGCUGAGAGAGGGCUGCCAACUUCGAUCUCGCGGUGGGCCUAUGCUGGGUCGCGGCGUGCUUCUCCGAUGGGUGCUCGUCGUCCCGAGGAAGAUCUUCGUGGUCGUCUCGGACGGGUGAUGUGCCUUAGCUUCGCCAAUGGCGCAUCGGAUGCUGCGUCCGCCACCGGGGGGGGCACUGCUGGCCAAUACCACUGCCUGGCAACCGGUAAGAUCUCCUCUAGCGUACUCACCAUCAACUUCGUAUCGCGUAGAAGCUUUCGUACUUGGAAGUAGUGACCUAGGGCGCCGAAUUGUUGAUCACCGGCGAUGUUUCGCUGCUGGCCGGUGGCGUCGCCGCCACCCAACGGUGAAAGGAUUGGGGAGAAUCGUGUGCGACGUCGAUCGCGGAUCAGAUGGUGUAGAUUAGAUCUGGCAUACCCGUUAGAGUAGAUGAGAUCUAUGUCGUUGGAUGGAAAUCGAGCGGGCGGAAAUCGAUCUGAAGAUUUUGAAUCUGGAGCGUUGGUAUUGCAUCGGAGGGCUCUCGAUUGCGCGCGGGGUCGCAAGGAUGCGAUCUAAUCUAGGCACUCAGAUCUAAAUCCAAUGGACCAGAGCUCUCCAUACCCAUUCAGCCUGGAGAUCUUUCUAAAGAGCCCC
rnacentral:lncRNA from 7 species